rnacentral:rRNA from 1 species
AACGAACGCUGGCGGCAGGCCUAACACAUGCAAGUCGAACGCACCGCAAGGUGAGUGGCGCACGGGUGAGUAACACGUGGGAAUGUACCCUUUGGUUCGGAAUAACGUUUGGAAACGAACGCUAAUACCGGAGGAGCCCUGUGGGGGAAAGAUUUAUCGCCAAAGGAGCAGCCCGCGUCUGAUUAGCUAGUUGGUGGGGUAAAGGCCUACCAAGGCGACGAUCAGUAGCUGGUCUGAGAGGAUGAUCAGCCACACUGGGACUGAGACACGGCCCAGACUCCUACGGGAGGCAGCAGUGGGGAAUAUUGGACAAUGGGCGCAAGCCUGAUCCAGCCAUGCCGCGUGAGUGAUGAAGGCCUUCGGGUUGUAAAGCUCUUUCGCACACGACGAUGAUGACAGUAGUGUGAGAAGAAGCCCCGGCUAACUUCGUGCCAGCAGCCGCCGUAACAC